rnacentral:piRNA from 1 species
UGCCAACAACUCUCCUCCCAAAUGGUGUC